rnacentral:rRNA from 1 species
CCUACGGGUGGCUGCAGUGGGGAAUAUUGCACAAUGGGCGCAAGCCUGAUGCAGCCAUGCCGCGUGUGUGGAGAAGGCCUUCGGGUUGUAAAGCACUUUCAGCGGGGAGGAAGGCGGUGAGGUUAAUAACCUCAUCGAUUGACGUUACCCGCAGAAGAAGCACCGGCUAACUCCGUGCCAGCAGCCGCGGUGAUACGGAGGGUGCAAGCGUUAAUCGGAAUUACUGGGCGUAAAGCGCACGCAGGCGGUCUGUCAAGUCGGAUGUGAAAUCCCCGGGCUCAACCUGGGAACUGCAUUCGAAACUGGCAGGCUAGAGUCUUGUAGAGGGGGGUAGAAUUCCAGGUGUAGCGGUGAAAUGCGUAGAGAUCUGGAGGAAUACCGGUGGCGAAGGCGGCCCCCUGGACAAAGACUGACGCUCAGGUGCGAAAGCGUGGGGAGCAAACAGGAUUAGAUACCCCGGUAGUC